CCUACGGGAGGCAGCAGUCGAGAAUCAUUCACAAUGGGGGAAACCCUGAUGGUGCGACGCCGCGUGGGGGAAUGAAGGUCUUCGGAUUGUAAACCCCUGUCAUGUGGGAGCAAAUUAAAAAGAUAGUACCACAAGAGGAAGAGACGGCUAACUCUGUGCCAGCAGCCGCGGUAAUACAGAGGUCUCAAGCGUUGUUCGGAAGCACUGGGCGUAAGGCGUGCGUAGGCUGUUUCGUAAGUCGUGUGUGAAAGGCGCGGGCUCAACCCGCGGACGGCACAUGAUACUGCGAGACUAGAGUAAUGGAGGGGGAACCGGAAUUCUCGGUGUAGCAGUGAAAUGCGUAGAUAUCGAGAGGAACACUCGUGGCGAAGGCGGGUUCCUGGACAGUAACUGACGCUGAGGCACGAAGGCCAGGGGAGCGAAAGGGAUUAGAUACCCCGGUAGUC
rnacentral:rRNA from 1 species